rnacentral:rRNA from 1 species
CCUACGGGAGACAGCAGUGAGGAAUAUUGGUCAAUGGGCGGGAGCCUGAACCAGCCAAGUCGCGUGAGGGAAGACGGUCCUACGGAUUGUAAACCUCUUUUGCCGGGGAGCAACGGGGUUCUUGCGAGGGCCCGAUGAGAGUACCCGGAGAAAAAGCAUCGGCUAACUCCGUGCCAGCGGCCGCGGUAAUACGGAGGAUGCGAGCGUUAUCCGGAGUUAUUGGGUUAAAGGGGUGCGUAGGCGGUCUGUUAAGUCAGCGGUAAAAUGUCGGGGCUCAACCCCGGCCUGCCGUUGAAACUGGCGGCCUCGAGUGGGCGAGAGGUAUGCGGAAUGCGUGGUGUAGCGGUGAAAUGCAUAGAUAUCACGCAGAACUCCGAUUGCGAAGGCAGCAUACCGGCGCCCGACUGACGCUGAGGCACGAAAGCGUGGGUAUCGAACAGGAUUAGAUACCCGAGUAGUC